UUGUGCUCGACCAAUGACUGGAUAUGAUGACUUUUAUGUCCUCUUGAAAAACGAGCGUGACACACACAUUUUUCUAGGAACUACCCUGAAUAUCGCGCGUAGGGCGAUAUUUUUUGUUCAAAACCAGACGUUGAUUAAAAAACAUCAGUUGUAACUUGUUUUGCGAAUGUAAUUUGUUAGAAUUGAACGGUUUCUUUUGAAUCGCGUUUCACAAACCAAUGAUAUAAUUUAAGUAAAUUUUAUUAACUUUAAUAGUUUUUUAUUAAUCUUAAAUGAAUAUUAGUUAAAUAGAGUUGACAUAGUUACUAAAAAAUUUUAACUUUAUGAAAAAAACUAAGGUUGGAAUUGUAAACGGGGGAGGGGGAGAAAAAGUCAUCUAGCAAAAUGGAAAAUUCCAGUUUUUUUUUAGAACACAGAAUGGAAAAGUAGUGCUCUGCCUACAAGAAUGUAAAGGGUACUUAUCUUGUGGCAGUUGAUAAAGAUGCUUGGACAAAUUUAGGAAGUUCAAGGUGCAUAAGGCCAUUACUCCACACUCUUUUAACAAUAAUAUUCAUACCAUGCUGCAGUGUUUGUGAUGCUAUUUCGGAUAGGCAAAAGGAGAACUAAAGAUAAAACGAAAGUAACAUAUAGCAAGGUAAGAAGUAUUAAUGACGUUUUGAAGCAAGUUGCGAUUACAAAUGUGGAAUGAUGCCAGAGGUGGUCUUCUUUUCCUGGAACGUCAUAAGUGGUGAGAGUUCAACUCUAUUCUAUAUAAAACAAAAUCUCAAAUAGAUAGUGUCCACUAGCCGUCAUUGCAAUUUAAAGUCCCCAUUAGAUAUCCAUGCGAUUUUCUAUAUUUACUGUGGACAACAACAUUCACAGUUCCAUAUUUCAUACUUUCAUUUGAUUCCACUAGUUGCAUUAAUAGACGUUUUAUAAAUAUUACAUGGAUCUUUCUUUAACUAUGAAA